rnacentral:rRNA from 1 species
GAUGAACGCUGGCGGUCUGCCUAACACAUGCAAGUCGAACGGGCUCUUUCGGGACUUAGUGGCGGACGGGUGGGUAACGCGUGAUGAUUUGCGCUUGGGAGGGGGACAACGGUGGGAAAGGACCGCUAAUAACCCAAGUGCCGAGAGGGCAAAAGAAAUUUGCCGACGGAUGGGCUCGCGUCGGGUUAGCUAGUUGAUGGGGUAAGAGCCUACCAAGGCGUCGAUCCGUAGCUGGUCUGAGAGGACGACCAGCCACACUGGGACGGAGACACGGGCAGGGAACCUACGGGAGGCGGCAGUGGGGAAUUCUCCGAAAUGGGCGCGAGCCUGACAGGGCAAGACCGCGUGAGGGAAGGCGGUCUGUGGAUUGUAAACCUCUUUGGGCAGGGAAGAAGUACUGACGGUACCUGUCGAAUCAGCCUCGGCUAACUCCGUG